GCCGCGGUAAUACGAAGGGUGCAAGCGUUACUCGGAAUUACUGGGCGUAAAGCGUGCGUAGGUGGUUUGUUAAGUCUGAUGUGAAAACUUCAGGCUCAACCUGGAGACGCCACCCGAUACUGCUGUGGCUAGAGUCCAGUAGGGGAGCGUGGAAUUCCUGGUGUAGCGGUGAAAUGCGCAGAUAUCAGGAGGAACACCAGUGGCGAAGGCGGCGCUCUGGGCUGGAACUGACGCUGAGGAGCGAAAGCGUGGGGAGCGAACA
rnacentral:rRNA from 1 species